rnacentral:misc_RNA from 1 species
AGGCAAUCUCUCUUCAAAGGCAACUUUUCUAAAACUACUGUGAAUCAUAACAAGAAUUGUCAAGACUCUUGCAAGGGCAGAAACUUUUCAAAUAAGGCCAGGUAGUUAUGUUGCUCCAAGUUAAAAUUUUAAGUAGACCUAUCACAAGCAUCCUUGUGAUGAGUUGAAAUAUGUUGGCAUUCAAGAUUUUACGUUACACUCCAUUAUUUUCAGUGCAAGUAAUUUCCCUACCUCAGUAAAUUUGCUUCCGAAAGCCUUAAGAAUCAGCUCAACACUUUUGGAAAUCACAAGCAAAAUCAUUACAUAAACUGGAACAAAUUACUGCACAUCAUGGUUUAUAAUUAUUAUUGAAUAUGAAUACCUAUAAAAGUUUAAAAUUAAAUACAACUAAAACAAAUUAUAUGCACAGCAUGGGAAGGGGGUAAGCAAAGUAGGGUGUUAGAUAUCAGCCUAGCAUCAAUCUCUAUUACAGAGAUUGCAACAGAAUCCUAGAACAGAAAAAUUAGGAGAUGAGAACAAAGAAAAACUAGAUGAGAAGAGAAUAGAAUUUUUGGGGGAGAAAGUAUAUCUUGUACCCAGAUAAAGUAUACCUAUUUAUAACAAAAUAGCUUAUCAGCUACUAACUAAUGCAGUUAUGAUAACUGCUCCCUAACAAUCAGAUAUGCUAACUGCUACUUUCAACAAUAUUUCCCUCCAUAUCCAUCCUUAUCCGACAUCCCUAACUACUUAUUCUUCCUCCUCCUCCUAUAAUAUGUAACAAUAC